AACAAAUCCGCACCUGAAAGAGAGAAAAACCAUUCUCCCCACACUGCCUCAAAAUUCUGACAGUAACUCCACCUGCUGUGUGUAAAUUUCAGCCGUUUCUUAAAGCUUAUGAAAAAAUUCAGACAAUCUUCUUCUGUUCAUCACAGUUUUCGUCGCAAUUAUUCGCACUAGAAUUUUGAUAAAAUUUCAGCAGAAGAAUACGCACCGGAGCAUGCCGACUUCAGCCGCAGCCUCGUCAUCGUCGGAGAAUCAGAGCCGUCCAGUUCCCGAGGACAUCGUCGGACGGCUAAGCUCGUCUAUGGCUUCAUAUGAGAUUAAGCUUAAAGCCCUGAGAGACCUGAAGAAUCAGAUCAUUGGCAACCGUACAAAGAAGCUUGCUUUUCUCAAGCUUGGUGCGGUUCCUUCCGUCGUCUCUAUAUUAUCUUCCGCUACUGCCGCGGCCUCGUGCCGUGGUGGUUAUGAUGAUAAUUUGGAUUCUAUUAUAAUUCAGUCCGCUGCCGUAAUUGGAAGCUUUGCGUGCGGAUUUGAUGCUGGAGUUCAGGCUGUUUUAGACGCUGGUGCUCUCCCCAUUUUGUUGAGUUUAAUUUCUCAUCAGAAUGAGAAGGUAGUUGAUGCUGGUGCUCGUUCAUUAAAAUUGAUAUAUCAGUCAAAAUUGGCUCCAAAAUAUGAAUUUUUUAAAGAUCAAAACUUGGAAUUUCUCCUUUCACUAUUGAAUUGUAAGAAUGAGAAUGUUACUGGACUUGGUGCUUGUGUCAUCACACAUUCCUGCAGGACAAGUAUUGAGCAGAGGGCAUUGAAUGAUGCUGGAGUAGUAAGGAAGCUCAUUAGUCUUCUUGGAGGCUCAGUAAUUCAGAGGGAUUCUAGUUUGGAAUCUCUAGCAGCCAUUCUGAAAGAAAAUUCAGAAGUCAUUUUGAAGUUUGUGGGGCCUGAAAAUGGAAGAGCAUUAAAUGAUGUUAUUGAGCUAACAAAGGAUAAGCAUCCUCGAACAAGAUUGCUUGCAUGCAUGUGCUUGGUUGUAAUAAGAAACGCUUUGCCUUCUUAUCUUCAAGAUUUACAAAUCAAGACCAAGUUGGUUUUAAUUUUACUUGAGCUUCUCGAUGAUCCUGGUCAAGUUGGAGAGGAAGCCCCAUUUAUCUUGUCUAGUUUAAUUGUGGGAAAGGAAGAUAUGCAGAGGUUAGCAUUUCAAGAAAAUGUUAUUGAUAAACUUUGCUGCCACUUGGAGAAAGGUUCUCUACAGGCCAAACGCCUGCAAGGAAUAUUUCUGGCAUUGGCUGAUUUGUGCUCCCGGUUGGAAUCUUGUAGGACUAAGCUUCUAUCUUUAAAGGCUUUGCAAUUUAUGGUUGAUGCUAUGUCACACGAUAGUGCUGAAGUACGUGCUGCAGCUUGCAUUUGUUUAAAGAAUGUUUCUCGGUCUGUUGAGAAUUUAAGUGCAGGUACUUUUAUGAAUGAAAGUGUCAUUAAUCCUGUAGUUCAACUUCUGUGUGACACCUCAACUUCAGUUCAGGUUGCCGCCCUUGGUGCUAUCAGCAAUGUAGUUGUUGAUUUCAUGGUGCAAAAAACAACAUUCAUCCAAUUUGGGGGUGUAAAACAGCUUGUUGAGCUAUCAAAGUCAAUGGAUUCAACCAUCAGGAUGAAUGCCGUCUGUGCUUUGAGGAACUUGAUGUUCCUUGUCAGUGACAGGUGUAAAGAAGCAAUUCUCCUGGAACUAACUCAAUCAACCUUAACAAGCCUAAUAUGCGAUCCUGAGGCUUCCGUGCAAGAGCAAGCUCUUGCCCUUGUUCGCAACCUUGUUGAUGGAUCUACAGAUGGCAUUAGACAUGUCUUUGCAGACAAUUGUUCUCUAUUGCGUGCUGUUGUUAGGCAAAUCCAGAGUGCUUCAAAAGUUGAAGUUGUGAUCCAGGGUAUGUAUGUCCUAACUAAUGUGGCAUCUGGUGGUGAGCUCCAUAAAGAAGCAGUGAUGGAUGAACUUUUCCCAACACUUCCAGGAGGCCCCCAAUCAAUUGUAAUCAAGUUUUUGCAGAGUAAUGAAAGCCAAUUACGUACUGCUGCGGUUUGGACUUUAGUAAAUCUUACUUUGCCCAAUAGUUCUGGUGCAUUUGGUCGGGCUGUGAAACUAAGGAGGGCUGGCAUAAUUUCCCAGUUGAAAAAUAUGAUGAAUGAUCCUUGCUUAGAUGUAAAGCUUCGAGCAAGGACAGCUUUUGGACAAAUGAUGACAUUGGGUGAUGGCUCACCUUGACUUUUUUUAUCAUACUUCAAGCUCAACAAUGAACAAGAGGAGAUUCUGACCUAUAACUGGUCCUUGGGCUUCAUCAUUUGUUGUAAAGUACCAUGUUUGCCUGUGCUACCAACUAGAAAUGGUAAUCCUUACUCGAGGUGUGUAUUGAUGCUAACAUGGCUACUUAAGUUGGACACUGACUGCAGCCUCAAGAAGUAAUCAGGUUCCGAUCAUCAUGUUGACGAAGUGUAAAUGAUUGAUAUUGGUUUUCCCCACUCAAAUGCAUCGUGGGGAGCUUGCUUGAUUUGUGACCACUGCGAGCAGGUCAUACACAAAUUUGAUUCCCAUGAUGACACCGUUCAUCUCAUUUUUGAAUUUAAAUUGUUUGAGUACAAGAUAGAUGUUCUUGCAUUGCUGCUGGGAUUUCUUCUCCAGCAUAUAACUUGUGCAAUGGCCACACCUCUCUUCAGGGUGUCGGAGGUGGAAAAGUGGUCUCAUACUCAUUGUAAUUAUCUGCCAAGUUGCAAUGUGCAUAUAGGAUGAAUUUUAUCAUAAAUGUCAUAGGAAGUCAAAUUUUUGAAGGUUGCUUUGGGGAGUCACAAUUGGUACUGAUCCCUUCUUUGGUUACUGGCAUCAUUUUCCAUUUAAGUUGAGCUUUGUAUCUUUUGACUUUGAACAGGAUUUGGAGGAACGUCUGGCUUAUGUUCAGUAAUGCUCCUUUUCUUCCUGAUCGGGAUGUCUGUCUUUGUUUUUAGUAGUCUGCUUAUAGUAAUUAGUUAGUGUAAAGUCAUUUCUUCUCUACUUUUCCUACACCAAAUAAGGCAAACAUGUUUAACCGUGUGUUCAUGGGUUUUCGGUGAAA